rnacentral:rRNA from 1 species
CAGUAGCCGCGGUAAUACAGAGGGUGCGAGCGUUAAUCGGAUUUACUGGGCGUAAAGCGUGCGUAGGCGGCUAAUUGAGUCGGAUGUGAAAUCCCCGAGCUUAACUUGGGAAUUGCAUUAGAUACUGGUUAGCUAGAGUGUGGGAGAGGAUGGUAGAAUUCCAGGUGUAGCGGUGAAAUGCGUAGAGAUCUGGAGGAAUACCGAUGGCGAAGGCAGCCAUCUGGCCUAACACUGACGCUGAGGUACGAAAGCAUGGGGAGCAAACAGGAUUAGAUACCCGGGUAGUCCCUGUCUCUUAUAC